UUCCUAUACAACAAUUCAUUCUUUAGCUCAAGUCUAUUCCAUUGUCUCAUCCAUAGGGUUACUGCAGGUGAGUGGAAUUUCAGGUUUGAAGGUUUGUUGUUUGACUCCCGGUAAUCAAUUACCUCUUUCAUUUCAGGGUCUGCUCACUGCCUCCUGAUCAGAUCCUCUACAGACAGAUGAGGUAUCUCGGGAAGACCAUGGACACCUUCUCUCUGGAUUUCUGGAGAUUCCAGGUCAUCUGAGGGUCCACCAUUCAGACAACGAGACAGUCCGUCCACAUCUUGAUUUUGAGCUCCCGCUCUGUACUGCAUCUUAAAAUUGUACAUUGAAAGACUGGAUAACCAUCUAUAACUAGUGGCAUCGAGUUUGGCCGAGAAGCACCCGGGUCUAUUUAUCUAAGCGCACCUUGGAAUGCAACCGGACACGCGGACCCCAGAUGGGCAAACCCCCAGAUGUGGGAACGGACCAUUAAAAUCUAUAAAAACAUUCCUCAGGAGUUCAUUUAUCUCCUGUCAUCCUCAGUCACGGACAAACAUCUGAACAAACAUCAUAUUUCCCCCUCGGAGGUCAUAGGUCACAUCUGGACAUCUAACAGGUCACGGGGUCAACACGACGUGGGUGGUUGUGAUGAGGGUGGUCGCGAUGUGGGUGGGCUGCGUGGGGGAGGGGAAAGGUCAAAAGGUAAAAGUCAUAAAUAUUUUGUCAUAUGCACAUCCCUAUUGA